rnacentral:rRNA from 1 species
GGACGGGUGAGUAAUGCCUGGGAAAUUGCCCUGAUGUGGGGGAUAACCAUUGGAAACGAUGGCUAAUACCGCAUAAUAGCUUCGGCUCAAAGAGGGGGACCUUCGGGCCUCUCGCGUCAGGAUAUGCCCAGGUGGGAUUAGCUAGUUGGUGAGGUAAGGGCUCACCAAGGCGACGAUCCCUAGCUGGUCUGAGAGGAUGAUCAGCCACACUGGAACUGAGACACGGUCCAGACUCCUACGGGAGGCAGCAGUGGGGAAUAUUGCACAAUGGGCGCAAGCCUGAUGCAGCCAUGCCGCGUGUAUGAAGAAGGCCUUCGGGUUGUAAAGUACUUUCAGCAGUGAGGAAGGGGUGUACGUUAAUAGCGUGCAUCUUUGACGUUAGCUGCAGAAGAAGCACCGGCUAACUCCGUGCCAGCAGCCGCGGUAAUACGGAGGGUGCGAGCGUUAAUCGGAAUUACUGGGCGUAAAGCGCAUGCAGGUGGUUUGUUAAGUCAGAUGUGAAAGCCCGGGGCUCAACCUCGGAAUUGCAUUUGAAACUGGCAGACUAGAGUACUGUAGAGGGGGGUAGAAUUUCAGGUGUAGCGGUGAAAUGCGUAGAGAUCUGAAGGAAUACCGGUGGCGAAGGCGGCCCCCUGGACAGAUACUGACACUCNGAUGCGAAAGCGUGGGGAGCAAACAGGAUUAGAUACCC